rnacentral:rRNA from 1 species
AUUAAAGUUGUUGCAGUUAAAAAGCUCGUAGUUGGACUUGUGUGCGCUGUCCGCGGGUGGCCUGCGCCCAAAAGGGCGUUUCGGUUCGGCCCCGGUGGCGCCUUGAAAUCUGCAGCUGGGGGGACGUUGGCCUUAACUGGUCGGCGACCGCACGCCGGCUGCUCGGUUACUGUGAGAAAAUUAGAGUGUUCAAGGCAGGCAUUGGGUGCAAUUGAAUACAUUAGCAUGGAAUAAUAAAAUAUGGCUCCUGCCGUAUUUUGUUGGUUUUGACUGGUGGGAGUAAUGAUUGAUAGGGACGGUUGGGGGUGCUAGUAUUGAGCGGCCAGAGGUGAAAUUCAUGGAUUCGCUCAAGACUAACUUAUGCGAAAGCAUUCACCAAGGACGUCCUCUUUAAUCAAGAACGAAAGUUGGGGGAUCGAAGACGAUCAGAUACCGUCGUAGUCUCAACUAUAAACUAUGUCGACUUGGGAUCGGCGGUAGUUUUUUCAUUAAGACACUGUCGGGACCACGGGAGGAAUCAAAGUGUCUGGACUCUGGGGGAAGUAUGGUCGCAAGGCUGAAACUUGAAGGAAUUGACGGAAGGGCACCACCAGGAGUGGAGCCUGCGGCUUAAUUUGACACAACACGGGGAAACUUACCAGGUCCAGAGAUGUAGAGGAUUGACAGAUUGAAGCUCUUUCUUGAUCACUUCGGUGGUGGUGCAUGGCCGUUCUUAGUUGGUGGAGUGAUUUGUCUGGUUAAUUCCGUUAACGAACGAGACCUCAGCCUGCUAGUGUAGUCGGCUGGAUUGCCUUUGGCGAUCCGUGAUUUCGACUUCUUAGAGGGACAAUCGACGCGCAGUCGAUGGAAGUUUGAGGCAAUAACAGGUCUGUGAUGCCCUUAGAUGUUCUGGGCCGCACGCGCGCUACACUGCUGGGCUCAGCGAGUUUUACUUGGCCGAGAGGCCCGGUUAAUCUUGUGAAAUCCCAGCGUGCUUGGGCUCGCCUCCUGCAACUGGAGGCGCCAACGAGGAAUUCCUAGUAGACGCAGGUCAUCAACCUGCAUCGAUUACGUCCCUGCCCUUUGUACACACCGCCCGUCGUUCCAUAAGAGUGAGGCAUCCGGUGAAUUCUCGGGAGAGCCUGGGCGUGGCCAGCAAUGGUCUGCUCGGGUUUGAACUUGCAUAAACUUGGUGCCUAUGAUUAGGG